rnacentral:rRNA from 1 species
UGUAAGCGUAUACCAAAGUUGUUGCAGUUAAAACGCUCGUAGUCGGAAUUUGGCAGUUCCGGAUGUGUGCACGUCGUGUGCGCACUUCGCGGGGAUUGCUUUUGUGGUCUUGCGUAGGAUGAGGCACUUUUAUUAGUGAACGUCCUCACGCAACCACUUUUUACUGUGAGAAAAUCAGAGUGCUCAAGCAGGCAUUUGCCGUGAAUGUAUUAGCAUGGAAUAAUAGAAUAGGACUUGGUUCUAUUUUGUUGGUUUGUUGGGACUGAGUAAUGAUUAAGAGGGACAGUUGGGGGCAUUUGUAUUUCGGUGCUAGAGGUGAAAUUCUUAGAUUACCGAAAGACAAACUGCUGCGAAAGCGUCUGCCAAGGAUGUUUUCAUUGA